rnacentral:rRNA from 1 species
UACGUAGGGUGCAAGCGUUAAUCGGAAUUACUGGGCGUAAAGCGUCCGCAGGUGGCUUGAUAAGAUAGACGUGAAAUCCCUGGGCUCAACCUAGGAAUUGCGUAUAUGACUGUCUCGCUAGAGUAUGGGAGAGGGGGGUGGAAUUCCGCGUGUAGCAGUGAAAUGCGUAGAGAUGCGGAGGAACACCGAUGGCGAAGGCAACCCCCUGGCCUAAUACUGACACUCAUGGACGAAAGCGUGGGGAGCAAACAGG